CUUUUGACUAUCACCUAUAGCUUAGGCCAGAAAAUAGACCAUCCAGUCGGACUGAUUGACUUCUACUUCCUGCUGGGAAUAGAAGGGGGAGGUUGAACUUGAGAUAGAGUUCCUGAAAAAGCACAUCCCUUUGGCAGGAGCUGCUCGUAACCGAUAAACACUGGGACAGGAAACAGUGAAAGCAUUUAAAUAAGCCAGCAGGAAACAAUAUUUCUGUGUGUGUCAGAGAAGCAGCGGUGAGCUGUGAUGUGUUCGCUGUUGAAGUUUUGACAUCAUUUGCAUCUCUUCCAUGACUGAGAGAGACACCAGGAUGGCAGCUGAAGGGGCCACAGAGAAGAGAGCCAACUUGGUGGCAUCUAAAGUCAUGUGGAGUAACAGGGAUGACGUACCUAUGUCAGCACCAGAACGGUCACAUGGCAGUGACAGAGCUGGAAUCUGUAGACAGAACAACGUCCAGCAGUGGCUUAGAAGUCAUGAGGCGGAUGCAAAACCAGACCACACCAGAGAAGCUGCAGCAGGGCUUUUAAAGAGGAACGCCAGCAGUGAGGAUGACUUAGCGUUGGGCGUCGAAGCAUCUUUAUAUGGUAAACAGGGAGUGAGGACCGUCCAGGAAUUUCUGAGGUAAGGAACUUUCCCUCUCUACUGUCCUGUCGGCUGGUUGCUGUCAAACUUUUGGCGCUUUGAAAUGAAUUGCAACCGAGGGUCUAUACAUGGCGAGAUUACACAUCCAUGUAUAAAUAAUUUGCGUCUCUCACAUUUGAUGUGAUGUUAUCCAAUGUAUAACUUGCAUAUAUGAUUACUAUGGAUAACUUACUAUGCAUAAAUGGGUUAAAAUGUUUUAUUGACCCCAUAAAAAUACUAACAUUUCUCUCAAAGUGAGGUUAGAUUGAUGUGAUCCAAAAUUAAAUAUGUUUAAACUCUGAACACCCUCACCCAGGGCUAAUUUUCAGUCACUUGUCAUUAACUGACUGGUAGUGAAGGGAACUGGCUUGAUUGACAGAUGUUGUCAUAAGUUAUGGAUAAUGUUCACAUGAUACAUGCCCACCUGCCAGUGACUCCUAUUUACCAUGCAAAUAUAAGAGACUCACCUGACCUUCACAGAAACAGAUGGGAUACAUCCCAAAUGACACCCUAUUCCCUAUACAGUGCACUGCUUUUGACCAGGGCCCAUAGGGCACUAUGUCGGGAAUAGGGUGCCAUUUGGGACGCAGACAUGGAUGAAGGGAUGGUUUGCAUGAAACAAGAGUGAUGACAUAGACAUAGAUAUGACAUGACGAGGAGGAGAAUAAUAUGAGAUUAUUGUUGCGUAGUGUACAGUAGAGACAACUCUAAACAGGGUUUAGAUGAAGGAAUUUGUGUGUGGAGAUGACAGUGCGAGCAGUGUGAUUUGGAGACCAGUGUUAAUACAGAUUAUUGUUCCAUUCUGUUAUGGUGCAUUGUAGUAUUAUACAGAAAAGUGUUCUAUCAUGUCUUUGUCUGUAGAAGGAUGAGUGGCUAGCUUGUAUGGAGACACGAGAAUCGGAGACUGUUUGCAGCGGUGUUCUAUCAUGUCUUCACCUUUGGAAGAAUAAAUGGCUAAAGGAACACAUACCUAAGAUAUGAGUCUAGAUUCAGAGACGGUUGUCCUUCUAUGAUCAUGUCU
ensembl:lncRNA